rnacentral:rRNA from 1 species
UACAGAGGGUGCGAGCGUUGUCCGGAAUCACUGGGCGUAAAGGGCGCGUAGGUGGCGGCCCAAGUCCAUGGUGAAAGCUCGAUGCUCAACAUCGAGUCGGCCACGGAUACUGGGUUGCUCGAGCACUGUAGGGGCAGAUGGAAUUCCUGGUGUAGCGGUGAAAUGCGUAGAGAUCAAGGAAGAACACCGGUGGCGAAAGCGCUCUGCUAGGCCGCAACUGACAACUCAUGGACGAAAGCUAGGGGAGCGAAUGG